GAAUUUUGGACAAUGGGGGCAACCCUGAUCCAGCCAUUCCGCGUGAGUGAAGAAGGCCUUCGGGUUGUAAAGCUCUUUCAGCCGGAAAGAAACGGUACGCUCUAACAUAGCGUGCUAAUGACGGUACCGGCAGAAGAAGCACCGGCUAACUACGUGCCAGCAGCCGCGGUAAUACGUAGGGUGCGAGCGUUAAUCGGAAUUACUGGGCGUAAAGCGUGCGCAGGCGGAUUAUUAAGCAAGACGUGAAAGCCCCGGGCUUAACCUGGGAAUGGCGUUUUGAACUGGUAGUCUAGAGUGUGUCAGAGGGGGGUGGAAUUCCACGUGUAGCAGUGAAAUGCGUAGAUAUGUGGAGGAACACCAAUGGCGAAGGCAGCCCCCUGGGAUAACACUGACGCUCAUGUACGAAAGCGUGGGUAGCAAACAG
rnacentral:rRNA from 1 species